rnacentral:lncRNA from 1 species
GUGCAUCUGAUGUUCAUAAAAAUUUUACAAUCGUUGUUCAAAGUUUCUUUGCACAUCAAUGGCAUGUUUGGUAGUGAGAAUUGGAUAGCAUUAAACAAUAUCAAGGAAUCAAAUGAGGCUAAAUCUUGUUGCUUAUACUGUUAAGCUCUUUCAAGUAUUGUACACCAAACAUCCACUUAAUGUCUUAUUGGUGUCACGAAAAUCUCUUGAGAAAUUUUGAUUAUAGGCUUAGAAAACAACCAAAUGAACAAAGUUUACCUCUGC